GAGUUCAAGUCUUCCCAGGCCCACCACUUUCAUCGAGUGAGCAUUCGUCUUCUGGUUACGGGGCCAUAGCUCAGCUGGGAGAGCGCGUGCUUUGCAAGCAUGAGGUCGUCGGUUCGAUCCCGUCUGGCUCCACCAGAUGGUUUGAUCGCCGAGAUCUUGCACCGUCGUCCGCGAAACAUCGCUUCGCAUCCUGCUAGUCUGGAUAGACAGCAAGAUGCGUGUUUUCUGACAUCGUAAAGAGGAGAUCGAUCCGAGUUGGGUCGUGCAGCAGAUUGUUGCGCGAAUCCUUCAUUAUCUCCGGAUCAUUUUCGGCGCUCGCUUUCAGCCGUGAGGUUGAAUGCGAGUUGUAAAAUGAUCCUUUUAGCGAAGCUUGACCGCCUCGCUAUCGGAACGAUCUUACGAAGCAAGCUGGUCUUUCUAGUCAAUGUCCGGCUGCAGAUAGCGUUCGUCGAGGGCGCGUGCCGCAAGGCAAUUCUGCAGACAACAUUCUGCCGAGUGUGUGGACAUUGAUAAUGAGAGCAAUCAAGUGCCUUAAGGGUGUUCGGUGGAUGCCUUGGCGCUGAGAGGCGAUGAAGGACGUGCUACGCUGCGAUAAGCCGUGGGGAGCUGCGAAGAAGCUUUGAUCCGCGGAUUUCCGAAUGG
rnacentral:misc_RNA from 1 species